GACAGAGGGGUGCAAACGUUGUUCGGAAUUACUGGGCGUAAAGCGUGUGUAGGCGGUCUUCUAAGUCGGGUGUGAAAUCCCUGGGCUCAACCCCAGGAAGUGCACUCGAAACUGGAGGGCUAGAGUAUCGGAGAGGUUGGUGGAAUUCUCGGUGUAGAGGUGAAAUUCGUAGAUAUCGAGAGGAACACCGGUGGCGAAGGCGGCCAACUGGACGAAUACUGACGCUGAGACACGAAAGCGUGGGGAGCAAACAGG
rnacentral:rRNA from 1 species